rnacentral:rRNA from 1 species
AGUUCGAUUAUGGCUCAGAUUGAACGCUGGCGGGAUGCUUUACACAUGCAAGUCGAACGGCGGCACGGACUUCGGUCUGGUGGCGAGUGGCGAACGGGUGAGUAAUGUAUCGGAACGUGCCUAGUAGCGGGGAUAACUACGCGAAAGCGUAGCUAAUACCACGCGCCGCCCUUCGGGGAAAGCGGGGGACCUUCGGGCCUCGCACUAUUAGAGCGGCCGAUAUCGGAUUAGCUAGUUGGUGGGGUAACGGCUCACCAAGGCGACGAUCCGUAGCUGGUUUGAGAGGACGACCAGCCACACUGGGACUGAGACACGGCCCAGACUCCUACGGGAGGCAGCAGUGGGGAAUUUUGGACAAUGGGGGAAACCCUGAUCCAGCCAUCCCGUGUGCGAUGAAGGCCUUCGGGUUGUAAGCACUUUUGGCAGGAAAAAAACGGCACGGGAUAAUACCCCGUGCAACUGACAGUACCUGCAGAAUAAGCACCGGCUAACUACGUGCCAGCAGCCGCGGUAAUACGUAGGGUGCAAGCGUUAAUCGGAAUUACUGGGCGUAAAGCGUGCGCAGGCGGUUCGGAAAGAAGAUGUGAAAUCCCAGAGCUUAACUUUGGAACUGCAUUUUUAACUACCGAGCUAGAGUGUGUCAGAGGGAGGUGGAAUUCCGCGUGUAGCAGUGAAAUGCGUAGAUAUGCGGAGGAACACCGAUGGCGAAGGCAGCCUCCUGGGAUAACACUGACGCUCAUGCACAACGUGGGAGCAAACGGGAUUAGAUACCCUGGUAGUCCACGCCUAAACGAUGUCAUGCUAUUCCAGGGCCUUCAGGCCUUGGUAGCACUAACGCGUGAAGUUGACCGCCUGGGAAUGCGGUCGCAAGAUUAAAACUCAAGGAAUUGACAGGACCCGCACAAGCGGUGGAUGAUGUGGAUUAAUUCGAUGCAACGCGAAAACCUUACCUACCCUUGACAUGUCUGGAAUCGAAGAGAUUUGGGAGUGCUCGCAAGAGAACCGGAACACAGGUGCUGCAUGGCUGUCGUCAGCUCGUGUCGUGAGAUGUUGGGUUAAGUCCCGCAACGAGCGCAACCCUUGUCAUUAGUUGCUACGAAAGGGCACUCUAAUGAGACUGCGGUGACAAACCGGAGGAAGGUGGGGAUGACGUCAGAAUCCUCGUGGCCCUUAUGGGUAGGGCUUCACACGUCAUACAAUGGUCGGGACAGAGGGUCGUAACCCGCGAGGAGCCAAUCGAAAACGAUCGUAGUCCGGAUCGCAGUCUGCAACUCGACUGCGUGAAGUCGGAAUCGCUAGUAAUCGCGGAUCAGCAUGUCGCGGUGAAUACGUUCCCGGGUGUACACCGCCCGUCACACCAUGGGAGUGGGUUUUACCAGAAGUAGUUAGCCUAACCGUAAGGAGGGCGAUUACCACGGUAGGAUUCAUGACUGGGGGUGAAGUCGUAACAAGGUAG